rnacentral:rRNA from 1 species
GACGAACGCUGGCGGCGUGCUUAACACAUGCAAGUCGAACGGAAAGGCCCUGCUUUUGUGGGGUGCUCGAGUGGCGAACGGGUGAGUAACACGUGAGUAACCUGCCCUUGACUUUGGGAUAACUUCAGGAAACUGGGGCUAAUACCGGAUAGGAGCUCCUGCUGCAUGGUGGGGGUUGGAAAGUUUCGGCGGUUGGGGAUGGACUCGCGGCUUAUCAGCUUGUUGGUGGGGUAGUGGCUUACCAAGGCUUUGACGGGUAGCCGGCCUGAGAGGGUGACCGGCCACAUUGGGACUGAGAGACGGCCCAGACUCCUACGGGAGGCAGCAGGGGGGAAUAUUGCACAAUGGGCGGAAGCCUGAUGCAGCAACGCCGCGUGCGGGAUGACGGCCUUCGGGUGGUAAACCGCUUUCGCCUGUGACGAAGCGUGAGUGACGGUAAUGGGUAAAGAAGCACCGGCUAACUACGU